rnacentral:rRNA from 1 species
AACAUGUCUUUUAGAAUUUAAUUUAAAGUCUAACCUGCCCACUGAUUUUUUUUAAAUGGCCGCAGUAUCCUAACUGUGCAAAGGUAGCAUAAUCAUUAGUCUUUUAAUUGAAGGCUGGAAUGAAUGGUUGGAUGAAAUAUUAACUGUUUCAUAUAAAUUUAUAGUAAAAUUUUAUUUUUUAGUUAAAAAGCUAAAAUAUAAUUAAAAGACGAGAAGACCCUAUAAAUCUUUAUACUUAAAUAAUUAAAAUUAUUUAGAUAAUUUAAAUUUUAUUUUUUUUAAAUAUUUUAUUGGGGUGAUAUUAAAAUUUAAUAAACUUUUAAUUUAUUAUAAACAUAAAUUAAUGAUUUAUUGAUCCAAAAAUUAUGAUUAAAAAAUUAAGUUACUUUAGGGAUAACAGCGUAAUUUUUUUUGAGAGUUCAUAUUGAUAAAAAAGAUUGCGACCUCGAUGUUGGAUUAAGAUACAAAUUUAGGUGCAGUAGCUUAAAUUUAAAGUCUGUUCGACUUUUAAAUUCUUACAUGAUCUGAGU